rnacentral:rRNA from 1 species
GGACUACUCGGGUAUCUAAUCCUGUUUGCUCCCCUAGCUUUCGUCCCUCAGCGUCAGUUGUGGUCCAGCGCGCCGCUUUCGCCACGGGUGUUCCUGCAGAUAUCUACGCAUUUCACCGCUACACCUGCAAUUCCACGCGCCUCUCCCACACUCAAGCACGGCAGUUUCGAAGGCAGUCUCUGAGUUAAGCCCAGAGAUUUCACCCCCGACUUGCCACACCGCCUACGGACCCUUUACACCCAGUAAUUCCGAGCAACGCUGGCCCCCUACGUCUUACCGCGGCUGCUGGCAC